AACGAACGCUGGCGGCAGGCUUAACGCAUGCAAGUCGAACGCCCCGCAAGGGGAGUGGCAGACGGGUGAGUAACGCGUGGGAACGUGCCCUUCGCUUCAGGAUAGUCCCGGGAAACUGGGUUUAAUACUGGAUACGCCGUAUUGGGAAAGAUUUAUCGGCGAAGGAUCGGCCCGCGUUAGAUUAGGUAGUUGGCGGUGUAAUGGACCACCAAGCCUACGAUCUAUAGCUGGUCUGAGAGGAUGAUCAGCCACACUGGGACUGAGACACGGCCCAGACUCCUACGGGAGGCAGCAGUGGGGAAUCUUGGACAAUGGGCGCAAGCCUGAUCCAGCCAUGCCGCGUGAGUGAAGAAGGCCUUAGGGUUGUAAAACUCUUUUGCCGGAGAAGAUAAUGACGGUAUCCGGAGAAGAAGCCCCGGCUAACUUCGUGCCAGCCGCCGCCGUAACAC
rnacentral:rRNA from 1 species